UGGGGAAUUUUGGACAAUGGGCGAAAGCCUGAUCCAGCCAUGCCGCGUGAGUGAAGAAGGCCUUCGGGUUGUAAAGCUCUUUUAGUCGGAAAGAAAGAGUAGCAAUGAAUAAUUGUGAUUUAUGACGGCACCGUCAGAAAAAGCACCGGCUAACUAAGUGCCAGCAGCCGCGGUAAUACGUAGGGUGCGAGCGUUAAUCGGAAUUACUGGGCGUAAAGGGUGCGCAGGCGGUGUUGCAAGUCUGAUGUGAAAACCCCGGGCUUAACCUGGGGAUUGCGUUUGAAACUACUUGGCUAGAGUGCAGCAGAGGGGAGUGGAAUUCCAUGUGUAGCAGUGAAAUGCGUAGAGAUGUGGAAGAACACCGAUGGCGAAGGCAGCUCCCUGGGUUGACACUGACGCUCAUGCACGAAAGCGUGGGGAGCAAACA
rnacentral:rRNA from 1 species